AGAGUUUGAUCCUGGCUCAGGACGAACGCUGGCGGCGUGCCUAACACAUGCAAGUCGAGCGAAGUGUUUAGGACGGAUUCCUUCGGGAUGAAGACCUAAACAUCUUAGCGGCGGAUGGGUGAGUAACGCGUGAGAAACCUGCCUUUCACAAGGGAAUAGCCUCGGGAAACUGGGAUUAAUACCCUAUGAUACAACUUUUUCGCAUGAGAGAGUUGUUAAAGCGUAAAGCGGUGAAAGAUGGUCUCGCGUCCCAUUAGUUAGUUGGUGAGGUAAUGGCUCACCAAGACAACGAUGGGUAACCGGCCUGAGAGGGUGAACGGUCACACUGGAACUGAGACACGGUCCAGACUCCUACGGGAGGCAGCAGUGGGGAAUAUUGCACAAUGGAGGAAACUCUGAUGCAGCGACGUCGCGUGAACGAUGAAGGUUUUCGGAUCGUAAAGUUCUGUCCUUGGGGACGAUAAUGACGGUACCCAAGGAGGAAGCCCCGGCUAACUACGUGCCAGCAGCCGCGGUAAUACGUAGGGGGCAAGCGUUGUCCGGAUUUAUUGGGCGUAAAGGGUUCGCAGGUGGCCUUUUAAGUCAGAUGUGAAAGAUCAAGGCUUAACCUUGGUAAGCAUUUGAAACUGAAAGGCUUGAGUUAAGGAGAGGAAAGUGGAAUUCCUAGUGUAGCGGGGAAAUGCGUAGAUAUUAGGAAGGAAUACCGGUGGCGGGAGGCGACUUUUCUGGACUUAUACUGACACUGGAGGAACGAAAGCACCGGGGUAGAAAAAAGGAUUAAAUACCCCUGGUAAUUCCGUGGCCGAAAACGA
rnacentral:rRNA from 1 species